rnacentral:rRNA from 1 species
GAUGAACGCUGGCGGCGUGCCUAAUACAUGCAAGUCGAGCGAACAGACGAGGAGCUUGCUCCUCUGACGUUAGCGGCGGACGGGUGAGUAACACGUGGAUAACCUACCUAUAAGACUGGGAUAACUUCGGGAAACCGGAGCUAAUACCGGAUAAUAUAUUGAACCGCAUGGUUCAAUAGUGAAAGACGGUUUUGCUGUCACUUAUAGAUGGAUCCGCGCCGCAUUAGCUAGUUGGUAAGGUAACGGCUUACCAAGGCAACGAUGCGUAGCCGACCUGAGAGGGUGAUCGGCCACACGGGAACUGAGACACGGUCCAGACUCCUACGGGAGGCAGCAGUAGGGAAUGUUCCGCAAUGGGCGAAAGCCUGACGGAGCAACGCCGCGUGAGUGAUGAAGGUCUUCGGAUCGUAAAACUCUGUUAUUAGGGAAGAACAAAUGUGUAAGUAACUAUGCACGUCUUGACGGUACCUAAUCAGAAAGCCACGGCUAACUACGUG